UGGGGAAUAUUGCACAAUGGGCGCAAGCCUGAUGCAGCCAUGCCGCGUGUGUGAAGAAGGCCUUCGGGUUGUAAAGCACUUUCAGCGGGGAGGAAGGCGGUGAGGUUAAUAACCUCACCGAUUGACGUUACCCGCAGAAGAAGCACCGGCUAACUCCGUGCCAGCAGCCGCGGUAAUACGGAGGGUGCAAGCGUUAAUCGGAAUUACUGGGAGUAAAGCGCACGCAGGCGGUCUGUCAAGUCGGAUGUGAAAUCCCCGGGCUCAACCUGGGAACUGCAUUCGAAACUGGCAGGCUAGAGUCUUGUAGAGGGGGGUAGAAUUCCAGGUGUAGCGGUGAAAUGCGUAGAGAUCUGGAGGAAUACCGGUGGCGAAGGCGGCCCCCUGGACAAAGACUGACGCUCAGGUGCGAAAGCGUGGGGAGCAAACAGG
rnacentral:rRNA from 1 species